UGACCAAUCACGCCUAGCGUGGUCUUGGGGUUCGCAUCUUGCGGCCCUUAAAAUCAGUGGCGGUGUCCGUUGGGCUCUAAGCGUAGUAAUUUUUCUCGCUUUUGGACUCUACGGGUGCUUGCCAUAACCCCAAUUUUUUUAGG
rnacentral:misc_RNA from 1 species